rnacentral:rRNA from 1 species
UACGUAGGGGGCAAGCGUUGUCCGGAAUCAUUGGGCGUAAAGAGCGUGUAGGCGGUCCAGUAAGUCCGCUGUGAAAGUCAAGGGCUCAACCCUUGAAUGCCGGUGGAUACUGCUGGACUAGAGUCCGGAAGAGGCGAGUGGAAUUCCUGGUGUAGCGGUGAAAUGCGCAGAUAUCAGGAGGAACACCGAUGGCGAAGGCAGCUCGCUGGGACGGUACUGACGCUGAGACGCGAAAGCCAGGGGAGCAAACGGG